rnacentral:misc_RNA from 1 species
AACCUUAUGGACCUGCGGGCGUAUACCUGCGGAAGGAUCAUUACAACAAGGUUCCCUGGCCCUCGAAGCUUCGGCGGAGGGGCGCUACAGCCUGACUUUAUACCCACCCUUUGCCUAUGUGUACCCCUAUUGCUUCCCUCGGCGGGCUCGCCCGCCGACAGGAACCAACUAAACCCUUUGCAUUAUACAUUUAACACUUCCGAUACAAAACUAAAUUAUUACAACUUUUAACAAUGGAUC